rnacentral:lncRNA from 1 species
ACUCUGAGUGAUUUCCUCAAGGCACAUGAAAAUGAAGCCUAAACACAAAUGCUUAUCAACUGAAGGAUGACCACAACGUUCUCCAAGUGAAAGGGGUAAAGUCUUUCUCCCAGGGCAACCCGGAUGAGUCUGGAAAGGCGUACACCAUUGAGAGAAGCAGCCACACAGGCCUCCUAUAGUGAUGGCUUUUAUCGGAUAGAACAAAUAUCUAGAGACAGAAAGUAGGGCAAGCAGUGAGCAACAAGCCAUCUCUCCAGCCCCAGUAACCAGAUGCUUUUCCGAGGGCAAAUGCUAACCAGAGCAGACUUGAGAAUGAAGAGCAAGAGGUCAGAGGAAGCCAGGUUCAAGGUAAAAACAGGAAAAGAUAAGAGAAAUGCUGGCCAAACGAUGACUGAAAGCUUGUGGCUCCCACUGGGCCACUGGGUCUAUACAGCAGUCUGAAGACGCCUGCUAUGCGCUGCU